GAUGAACGCUGGCGGCGCGCCUAACACAUGCAAGUCGAACGAUUAAAGCACUUUCGGGUGUGUAUAAAGUGGCGAACGGCUGAGUAACACGUGGGCAACCUGCCCCUCUCAUUGGGAUAGCCACGGGAAACCGUGGAUAAUACCGAAUACUUCGGGACUUCCGCAUGGAAGACUCGAGAAAGCUCCGGCGGAGAGGGAUGGGCCCGCGGCCUGUUAGCUUGUUGGUGGGGUAAUGGCCUACCAAGGCAAUGAUGGGUAGCUGGGUUGAGAGACCGACCAGCCAGAUUGGGACUGAGACACGGCCCAGACUCCUACGGGAGGCAGCAGUGGGGAAUCUUGCACAAUGGGCGAAAGCCUGAUGCAGCGACGCCGCGUGCGGGAUGAAGGCCUUCGGGUUGUAAACCGCUUUCAGCAGGGACGAGGCGAAAGUGACGGUACCUGCAGAAGAAGCCCCGGCUAACUACGUG
rnacentral:rRNA from 1 species